CUUAUGCAUGCAGUUGAGCGAAGCUCUUCAGUAGUUUACUACAGAAAAUGACUGAGCGGCGAACGGGUGAGUAACGCGUGAGCAAUCUACCUUAGUUACUGGGAUAGCCCGAGGAAACUCGGAUUAAUACCGGAUAUUCUUAUUUUUUCACAUGAAGUUUUAAGGAAAGGUCAGCCGAACUAAGAUGAGCUCGCGUUCUAUCAGCUAGUUGGUGGGGUAAAAGCCUACCAAGGCUACGACGGAUAGCUGGUCUGAGAGGACGAUCAGCCACACUGGGACUGAGACACGGCCCAGACUCCUACGGGAGGCUGCAGCAGGGAAUAUUGCGCAAUGAGCGAAAGCUUGACGCAGCGACACCGCGUGUGGGACGACGGUUCUAGGAUUGUAAACCACUUUCAGGAGGGAAGAAAAUGACGGUACCUCCACAAGAAGACCCGGCCAACUACGUGCCAGCAGCCGCGGUAAUACGUAGGGGUCAAGCGUUGUCCGGAUUUAUUGGGCGUAAAGAGCUCGUAGGCGGUUCAACAAGUCGGUCGUAAAAGUUUAGGGCUCAACCCUAAAAUGUCGAUCGAUACUGUUGUGACUAGGAUACGGUAGAGGUGAAUGGAAUUCCGAGUGUAGCGGUGAAAUGCGUAGAUAUUCGGAGGAACACCAAUUGCGAAGGCAGUUCACUGGACCGUGACCGACGCUGAGGAGCGAAAGCUAGGGGAGCAAACAGGAUUAGAUACCCUGGUAGUCCUAGCUGUAAACGAUGGAUACUAGAUGUAGGAACUGGAUUGACGGUUUCUGUAUCGUAGCUAACGCGUUAAGUAUCCCGCCUGGGGAGUACGGUCGCAAGACUAAAACUCAAAGGAAUUGACGGGACCCCGCACAAGCGGCGGAGCAUGCGGCUUAAUUCGAUGGUACCCGUAGAACCUUACCUGGACUUGACAUAUAGGGAAAAGCUAAAGAAAUUUAGUGUGCGUAAGCGCCCUAUACAGGUGGUGCAUGGCUG
rnacentral:rRNA from 1 species